rnacentral:tRNA from 1 species
GACAGCUUGGCCGAGUGGUUGAGGCGAUAGACUCGAAAUCUAUUGGGGUAACCCGCGUGAGUUCAAGUCUCACAGCUGUCG